GGGCGUGUCCUGCAAAACAAUGACAGAGAAUUGAGGAAACCAAGUAGAGAAAAAUAAAGAAACAUUUAAUUUAAUAGAUAAACUACAGGAAGAUUCAGAAGCUAAAAAUAUAAAAAUUUUAAUUAGGUUUUUUAGGAAAACAAAAUUGAUUUACAAAAUAUAAUUACCAAUAAUACAUCUAAAAAAUAAGACAUUUUAUUUAAUAGACAAUCACACCAGUAGGUGAGGGUAAUGCAUACUGUACAUUUCUUGCCAACUGACAAAGUAAUCAAGAAGAAGAGGAAGAAGAAGGAGAACACAGUUUGAUGUAGAACCAAAGGUUUUACCCUGACGGAAACCCAUAAAAAUAGAACAGAAAACUUUGGACUGGACUUGGCUGAGCUGCUGGGGCAACCAGAUGUGAAACUGCUUCCUGGAGGACUGAGUCAAAGGAGGUCCAGGAAUACUCAACCAGACCUGCCAGACACAGGUGUCUUUUUACCACAAUCACUUGAGACACCCACCAAUUGGCUGGAUCUGUUGGAUUACGUCAAUCACUUUAAAGGAGGAGCGAGAACAACAUUUUCAAGAGUUAUGCUGCGAGCCAGAGCGGCGGCAAAGUUGAGUGCGGUCAAUUGAACCUCCACCCCCACUCCACCCCUCCUUCCCACAUGCGUCUCAACUCAAUCCCAGUGGAGCAGAUGUCAAAGAAGGAUCCCAGUAUCACAUAUCGGUUAGAUGACCAAGGCAGGGCCCACAUGACACGACAGCUAAAGCUCGCAUCGUGAGGAUAUUGCAGAGGGAUUCAGUGGACAACACCUGUACACUGAUUUUCUUUACCAUCUACAACUUGACCACCCAGUCGGGAUUCAUGCAAAUUAAGCAAGUCUCCUGCGCAUGUGUAGGUUCUCUCAGGGUGCUCCUGCUUCCUGCUCCAUCCAGAAAUGACUGCCAGGAUUUCAAAGAAAGAAGUCUCAGUCAACCAACAGCAGAAGUGUCUUCAUUUCCUUCACACAUCCACUUCCAGAACUGAUACCUGGGCUGUCCGGGAUUCACUUCCAGUCAUCCGGGGGAUGGGCUUCAUGUAUGUUUCAACUGGCCGUCUCCAUUGACUACCUGCCAGGCACCUGCUCUGAGAAAUGAAGCCAAGGCAAAUGCCUCUCUUGGGAGCCUUUUGGACUCGGCAGACAAGGCCUGGCCUCAGCCCUGCAUUUGAAUAGGCUUUGAGUGGUCCUGGUAAACCAAUCUCCCUAAUUAUCUAUUGAAAGGACAUUUUUUUUCCUUGCCUAGUCAUUACCUUGAUUUCAAUUGCUGAAAAGUAACAUGGAGAAACUAAAAAAAAGAGGGGAGGGAGAGGAUGUGGGAGUAAAUACAUGCGCCCAUACGUGCGCACACACCAUUGCACACUUGUGAGACAUCUAGAAAAGCAAAAGACUCAGCAUUGUCCUGAUUUCAAUAAGGUUAAUUGUAGGUCGGAGGGAGCAGCUUUUACACAUAAAUCCAGAUUGCAGGAACAGGUCAAGGCUAUCAAGAGGAAUAAACAUGAAUAAACGGCUUUUAGCUACAUUUUGCUGCAUCAGUAAUUGCUGUUAGGGCAGGCUGUUUUAGCACAUGAUUGGUUUGCCCCCAAAUCAUCAUUCUUGUCAAGUAAAUAGAGUGGCCUCAGUUUGAAUAUGAAGAAUUGUUUUAACCGAGACCUACUUAUUCUGGAUAUUAAGUAGUUUCACAAUACAUCUUGCUGUUUUUUUCUUUAUAAAGGAAUGCAAACAAAACUGACAUUGAUUUUAAAGUGAUAAAUACAUAUUAUGUAAUAAAUAUACCAGUGGAGCUGUGUUCUCCUCUGCUUACUUUACUUUGUAAUUACAAUAAGCGCAAUGUAUUGAAUUUGAAAUCCUUUCAAGAUGCACAAUUUUUUAUUUUGGGCAUUGUGAUGUCAUAUGUUUUUAUAUAUGACAACAAGGUUUUACAUUUUGUGACGUGUCAAUCUUGAAAUUUGUUGCGACAAUUUCAUUUCAAAUGACAGACUAACACACAGUAAAACAAAUUUUUUAAAGGAAUUCAAUGUAUUGUUUCUAAUUUUUUACAAAUAAAAAUGUCAGGUGGCAUGCCCAUUUAUUUUCAGCCCAAUUAUCUCUGAUAACCCAAGAUAACAUCCUGUGGUACAAACCUAUUGCUGAAGUCACGGAAUUAAGAGUCCAACCAUACCUAAUUUAACAUGAGUGUAAAUCCAGCUGUUCUGCAAAGGUUCCAGAUGUUUGUUAAGGACAAUUAAUUAACAAAAAGCACAAUGAACAUCAAGGACCAUUGUAAUUCUGGUGGCACUAGAUCCACAGCUCAGCAGAGAGAACCUUUUCGUGGGACAAUUGUUAAUCAGAGUUCACUCUACAAAUUUGGUGCUUUUGCAGGAAUACUAAAAAGGAAGCCACUUUUGAAAUAAAAACCAUAGAUUCCUUUUACAAUUUGCUACGGGCCAUGUGGGAGACGUAAUUAAAAUAUGGAAGUAAAUCUGAAUGAAAUGAAAUUGCACGUCACCCUGAAAAAGCCAAUCAGGUUGAUGUGCAACAUGGUGGUGGUAGCAUCUCUUCUGGAGAUGUUUUUCUUUUGCAGGCAUAGAGAAGGUUACCAGAGUUGAUGUGAACAUUGAUGGAGCUAAAUACAGGGCAAUCUUGGAAGAAAACACGUUCACCUGCUCUUCUGCAUAAAUCCCCCCAAAUAUACAUUCGCAUUUCUGCUUAUAGCAUGACUCAAAAAAAGUUCAAGGGGUAUAGAAAAUCUCCUAAAGCUCUAAAACUCUGACAAAAUGCUGAGGUUUUAAUUUACUCAGAUGAACUGAUGAUGCUCAAUGAUGUUUUGUGUUAAUUCUGUACUGAAACUAAUGAAA